CAGGCACUGUUCUCACGCCUCCUUAGUUCUAUGGUUAAGAGAUAGUUAUGUUCCCUUUAUCACUCAAUUGCAAUUGGGAGAAAGUCAUUUCUGGAAAGUAGAGUCCUGAAAGAUGGGAAAAAAUCUAGCCCUAUGAUUACCUGAUUCAAGCUCUUUGGUCUCCAUGUUUCUCAUUCUCCAACCUACUCAAAAAAAGAAGACCGUCAUUGGAGAAUGCAGAGCGAAAACCGGGGGAAAGGGAAAGACAGAGAGAAGAGAAACUGGAGGGAAAUCAGUGACAUGAAGUGGGGGAAAGGCAUGAGCGACGCAGGUGAGAAACCAAUGAAAGGACAGGAGUGUCUUCAGAGUCGACCAAUGGACAACUUUUCAGCACUCAAAGAUGAAGACAAACUUGAAAUCAAGCCUAUACAUGGAGUCGAGCAGUUUUGUUUUCACAUGCUUUCAGUGGGGGGUGAAUCCUUAAAAAGGCAAUUCAAUCUUUUCAGAAUUAAAGGGCUUAACUAAAAUGUAGCCCUGUACUAGGAAAUGAUUCGGUUUGGAGCCAAUAUUCCUUGGUCACAAAGAGAACCCAGCACAUUAGAUCUGUUGUAUGUAUGCCCCAAAUCUGUAUAGGUUAAUACAAUUUCAGGGCAUAUUUUUAA